rnacentral:rRNA from 1 species
GAUGAACGCUAGCGGCAGGCCUAAUACAUGCAAGUCGAACGCUCAGUAGCAAUACUGGGAGUGGCGCACGGGUGCGUAACGCGUACACAAUCUACCUCUAAGCGGGGACACCUCCUGGAAACGGGGAUUAAUACCGCAUAAUAUGCCGAAGUCGCAUGACUUUGGUAUUAAAGCAGCAAUGCACUUAGAGAUGAGUGUGCGUCCCAAUUAGGUAGUUGGUGAGGUAACGGCUCACCAAGGCAUCGACGGGUAGCUGGUCUGAGAGGACGAUCAGCCACACUGGGACUGAGACACGGCCCAGACUCCUACGGGAGGCAGCAGUGGGGAAUCUUGCGCAAUGGGCGAAAGCCUGACGCAGCAACGCCGCGUGGGGAUGAAGGCUCUCGGGUUGUAAACCCCUUUCAGCAGGGACGAAUCAAGACGGUACCUGCAGAAGAAGCCCCGGCUAACUACGUGCCAGCAGCCGCGGUAAU